AACUAACCCUGGUAGUUAAGUCACAGAGAAGUUGGUGUGACUUAUUUCUGGAGCAUAAUAUAGCCUAUUCUUACCAAUAUAGGGGCAAGAGGAGAAGCAUAAGAUACUGCAAGAAUUUAAGUGAGAGAAGAUGUUGGGUGAGUCCAGAUGAAGAGACCAAGAUGCAGAGAGGCUAAGUUAAAGGAUUGCCCAAGGUGAAGAGCUGUUAAGAGGUGGACCUGGAAUCUGAGCCUCCGAGAUGCCCGUAAAGGCCGGUUCUUAACUACUGGAUGUCCUCCAAUCAAUACUGACUGAAUUCCUUCUAAAUGCCAGGCACUAUUCCAAGGGCUUGGAAUACAUUAGAGCUCCACACAGACAAAAAUCUCUUCUUCACCUCCUCGAGAGGGAGACAGACAAUAAACAAGUCAAGUCAGUAAAAUAUCUACCUUGUUAGAAAGUGGUCAGCAGUAAGGAAUACAAAUGGAGCAGAAGAGGGGAAUGAGAUGUUUCAACCUGGGGAAACUUUGGAAUGUCGGAUCAGGAAAAGCCUCGCUGAGGAAGUGGUGUAUGAGUCAGGACCUAAGGAAGUGAGACAGCUAGCCCUGCAUCCAAGGGCAAGAGCAUCCCAGGCAGAGGCAGCCCGUGCAAAGACCCUAGGACCUAGGUUGUCAGAAUUAAUUACAUUGAUUGGAUCCACACGCCCUCCUCAUCUCAAAUAUCUGAGCUUAGCAAACAUCUCAGCACCAGAGUUGAAGGCACAAGGGUUUGGAAGUAGACUUUGAAAUGUCCCUUUUUACUUACAAAUCCAGCUGGUAACCUCUGCAGGUUAACAGGACCCAUUGCUGCCAUGAGCACUCAUGCAGGUGUGAGGACCAAGUUUGCGUCUUCUGCUUGCAGAUGGAGAGUGCGAGAGAGGGUCUAAAGCUGAAGACAACCUUACUUAAAAUCACUUUGAUCCAAGGAUUGUAGCCAUUUAGUGCUUAUUGAUUUUUCUUUCCUAUUUUUAGGAAGGUGGGAGCAUGCUAAUUAAACAUUUUUGAGUAGAACUGGCUUCCAGGGAGGAUGGCUUAAGAGCCCCAGAGAGCAGAAUCUUUUAUUUGCUUUCCACCAGAGGCCCGAGGAAUGCAAGAGCCAGUGGAUCUGCAUGUUUCACACCUCCUGGCCACCCAGGCUCUGCAUCAGGGCAGAGGCUCUCUGAGCCCCGUGUGGCCUGUGCCUCGCCUUCUAUCCUUGCCUCCUGUGAGGAGAGGCAUCAAGAGGAUGGGCAAAGAGAAAAUGUUUUUAAACAAGAGAUGAGGACAGCCCCUCCAUGUCUAUUGGAACAUGGCUCUAGGAAACGUGAGUCUGUCAAGACCAGACCCCUCUAGAACCUCAGCUGACCCCAUACGCUCGACUGAGGGUACCUGGCAGAUGGUCACAGUUAGCCCUGCCACCAGCUUCUGGAAGGACACAGGGCUGAAUGCCAGGACACUGCUGGCUGGACCAUCCCAUCCCAAAUGUUCUCAGCAGCACAGUCCAAGAAGGUGCCUUCCCCAGAGAACUCUCCAGGGUUCCCGGGCCGAAUGAGGCCCUUGAGUGCUUUAUCACAGAAGCAAACACACAACACACCAACUUACAUUUCUGUCUCCACAGAUUUCUUUCCUUUCCAAUUUUACAUGUAUCUCUUAUUCUGUUAAGGGUCCAAUGGUAUUUUAUUAUACUUUUAACGAUAACAGUAACAUUCAGCCCGACACUAUCUUCCUUCGCUUAAUGGAUUAUCUUCAAACUCUGAAAGGCAUAUAUUAUUAUCCCCAUUUUCCAGAUAAGAAGGAAGGCUUAUACAUGUUACAUACCUCAUUUAAAAUCAAAAGUUAGUAACUGGCAGAGCUGAAGUUUGACCCAGCUCUGAAGACUCUGCAGCACACACUCUCAGUGUGAUAUUAACUUUCCUGUGUCAGCUAUCCAAGAUCUGAAAAUGUAUAUACCUAUAUAUGUACAUCUAUACAUAUCAAUACAAUUAAUAUACAUGUAUACUGUAGGAAAAACAAAUACUUUUUCAUGUUACCACAUAUUAUAAAACAGAUUGACAAGAGAAAAGCACACAUAUGUAUUUAACACAAAUUUUAUAUAACGUGAGAGCCUUCAGAAAUAAACACCUCCCAAAACAAGAGAAUGCGUGCGUUUUUCUGCUGAGGUCUGAUGAAGAGUGGACAGCCGCGGGGAAGUGUGAUUGGACAUAAGGGUUUGAUCUAAUGGCAAUAAACUGGGGAUGGAGUUAACAAGGCCCUGUUUGUUCAGAUUCUGCUCGGUGUUAAGGUGUCUUCAGAGAUAAGGGUGCUCCUUCCCUCCAGGUAGAGGAAGGGCAUCUCUGGAAUGAGGGAUCUCAUGACCUGCUUCAGGGGAAAAUGACUUGGGGGAAGUGAAAGCAAUCUUCCUGCUUCUGCUGUUUUCUCAAAUGCCA
rnacentral:lncRNA from 10 species